rnacentral:rRNA from 1 species
UACGUAGGUGGCGAGCGUUGUCCGGAUUUACUGGGCGUAAAGAGCGCGCAGGCGGCUGGUCAAGUCCGAUGUGAAAGCUCCCGGCUUAACUGGGAAAUUGCAUCGGAAACUGAUCGGCUGGAAGGUGGGAGAGGGUAGCGGAAUUCCCGGUGUAGUGGUGAAAUGCGUAGAUAUCUGGAGGAACACCGGUGGCGAAGGCGACGUCCUGGACCGGCAUUGACGCUGAGGCGCGAAAGCCAGGGGAGCAAACGGG